GGAAGUGAAAUUUAUUGGUUAUAGUAGUUAAAUUUAUUUUAUUUAUUAUAUUUAUAAUUAUUAGGUGAAAUUUUGAUUAUUUGGUAAAUAUAUUUUUUGAAGCUGCGAAAUUUAUUUUAAAGACAAGGAUUAGAUACCCUUUUAUUUUAAAUGUAAAUAUUAACCUGGGUAGUAUUAGUUAUGUUCUUGAAACCCAAAGAAUUUGGCGGUAUUUUAGUCCUUUCAGAGGAACCUGUCCCGUAAUCGAUAGUCCACGAUAAUGAUUUACUUAUAUUUGUUUUCAGUUUGUAUACCUCCGUCAUCAGCGAAUCUUUUUAGAGUAUUAAUUUUCUUUAUACAAUGAAUGUAGUAUGUCAGGUCAAGGUGCAAUUUAUAUAUAAGAGGAGAUGGGUUACAAUAAUUUUAUUUAUAUGGAUUAAAUUAUUUAUUUUUUUUAUGAAGGUGGAUUUGAUAGUAAUUUCAAUUAUUUAUUGGAAUGAUUNNNNNNNNNNNNNNNNNNNNNUCAUCGCCCGCGCUCUCAUUCUUAAAGUGAGAUAAGUCGUAACAUAGUAGGCGUAUCGGAAGAUGUGCCUAGUUUG
rnacentral:rRNA from 1 species